rnacentral:rRNA from 1 species
GAUGAACGCUAGCGGCAGGCUUAACACAUGCAAGUCGAGGGGCAGCGCGGGAUAGCCAUAUCCUGGCGGCGACCGGCGGAAGGGUGCGUAACGCGUGAGCGACAUGCCCGUUGCCCGGGGACAACCGGUGGAAACGCCGACUAAUCCCCGAUGGGAUAUUGUGCCGCAUGGCACGAUAUUGAAAGUUACGGCGGCGACGGAUUGGCUCGCGUCCGAUUAGCUUGUUGGCGGGGUAACGGCCACCAAGGCUGCGAUCGGUAGGGGUUCUGAGAGGAAGGCCCCCCACAAUGGGACUGAGACACGGCCCAUACUCCUACGGGAGGCAGCAGUGAGGAAUAUUGGUCAAUGGGCGGAAGCCUGAACCAGCCAUGCCGCGUGCGGGAAGGAGGCCCUAUGGGCUGUGAACCGCUUUUGCCUGGGGGCAAUAAGGGCGUCGCGCACGUCCGAUGAGAGUACCAGGCGAAUAAGCAUCGGCUAACUCCGUG